UUCCCCCGCACCUCUCGGCGAUGUAGAGGGUGCCGGCGCCCAGGCUGCGCCCCGCCAGCAGCGCCUCCGUGUCCGGCUGCUGGUGCCGAACGCCAUCGGCCGGCGGCGGGAACCGCUUGAGGAAACUCAUGGCGCCGCCGCCGCCUCCCUGCUCCACCAUCGCCGCCGCCGGAACAGGAACCGCGCUGCUCUAUGAUGCAAUUCCCCCUCUCAGUCAUCGUGGAGCCGCGGGGGAGGUGACGGGCUGUCGCCUCACAACCGCAGUGUUCCUUACGGGCGGACGUAUGUACGUCCGGAGCGAUGCGGGCUGUGCUCCAGGAGUAUCUCUGGCAGUUUUUGGAGUGAAGUUUUCAUUUUCUGGAAAAGAGAAGCAAAGGGGAGGCGCUGAGCAUGUAAGUCUCUGUUGGAGAGGUGAAAAAGGGAAAAACAAACACAGCAGCUUUUCAAGUGCCAUUUUCAGAUGCUGGAAAGGAAAUUUUAGGCGGAUGACCAGCACCUAGUGCCUGAUAGAUGUACACAGAGAAUAAAAAGAAUGUCACAAGUA